UACGUAGGGGCCUAGCGUUGUCCGGAUUUAUUGGGCGUAAAGAGCUCGUAGGCGGUUCGGUAAGUCAGGUGUGAAAUCUCCACGCUCAACGUGGAGGCGCCACCUGAAACUGCCGUGACUCGAGUCCGGUAGGGGAGUGUGGAAUUCCCGGUGUAGCGGUGAAAUGCGCAGAUAUCGGGAGGAACACCAGUGGCGAAGGCGACACGCUGGGCCGUACCUGACGCUAAAGCGCGACAGCAUGGGGAGCAAACGGG
rnacentral:rRNA from 1 species